rnacentral:pre_miRNA from 1 species
AGUCACGGUAUUGUUGCUGCAGCUGGUGUUGUGAAUCAGGCCGACAAAAAGCGCAUCUUACUAUCCGGCUAUUUCACUACACCAGGGUUGCAUCAUACC